rnacentral:rRNA from 1 species
UCUUCCCUCUUUCUUCGUGCCUAAUACAUGCAAGUCGAGCGAACAGACGAGGAGCUUGCUCCUCUGACGUUAGCGGCGGACGGGUGAGUAACACGUGGAUAACCUACCUAUAAGACUGGGAUAACUUCGGGAAACCGGAGCUAAUACCGGAUAAUAUAUUGAACCGCAUGGUUCAAUAGUGAAAGACGGUUUUGCUGUCACUUAUAGAUGGAUCCGCGCCGCAUUAGCUAGUUGGUAAGGUAACGGCUUACCAAGGCAACGAUGCGUAGCCGACCUGAGAGGGUGAUCGGCCACACUGGAACUGAGACACGGUCCAGACUCCUACGGGAGGCAGCAGUAGGGAAUCUUCCGCAAUGGGCGAAAGCCUGACGGAGCAACGCCGCGCGAGUGAUGAAGGUCUUCGGAUCGUAAAACCCUGUUAUUAGGGAAGAACAAAUGUGUAAGUAACUAUGCACGUCUUGACGGUACCUAAUCAGAAAGCCACGGCUAACUACGUG